rnacentral:rRNA from 1 species
UAGCACAGGGAGCUUGCUCCUGGGUGACGAGCGGCGGACGGGUGAGUAAUGUCUGGGAAACUGCCUGAUGGAGGGGGAUAACUACUGGAAACGGUAGCUAAUACCGCAUAACGUCGCAAGACCAAAGAGGGGGACCUUCGGGCCUCUUGCCAUCAGAUGUGCCCAGAUGGGAUUAGCUAGUAGGUGGGGUAACGGCUCACCUAGGCGACGAUCCCUAGCUGGUCUGAGAGGAUGACCAGCCACACUGGAACUGAGACACGGUCCAGACUCCUACGGGAGGCAGCAGUGGGGAAUAUUGCACAAUGGGCGCAAGCCUGAUGCAGCCAUGCCGCGUGUAUGAAGAAGGCCUUCGGGUUGUAAAGUACUUUCAGCGGGGAGGAAGGCGAUAAGGUUAAUAACCUUGUCGAUUGACGUUACCCGCAGAAGAAGCACCGGCUAACUCCGUGCCAACAACCGCGGUAAUACGGAGGGUGCAAGCGUUAAUCGGAAUUACUGGGCGUAAAGCGCACGCAGGCGGUCUGUCAAGUCGGAUGUGAAAUCCCCGGGCUCAACCUGGGAACUGCAUUCGAAACUGGCAGGCUAGAGUCUUGUAGAGGGGGGUAGAAUUCCAGGUGUAGCGGUGAAAUGCGUAGAGAUCUGGAGGAAUACCGGUGGCGAAGGCGGCCCCCUGGACAAAGACUGACGCUCAGGUGCGAAAGCGUGGGGAGCAAACAGGAUUAGAUACCCUGGUAGUCCACGCCGUAAACGAUGUCGACUUGGAGGUUGUGCCCUUGAGGCGUGGCUUCCGGAGCUAACGCGUUAAGUCGACCGCCUGGGGAGUACGGCCGCAAGGUUAAAACUCAAAUGAAUUGACGGGGGCCCGCACAAGCGGUGGAGCAUGUGGUUUAAUUCGAUGCAACGCGAAGAACCUUACCUACUCUUGACAUCCAGAGAACUUUCCAGAGAUGGAUUGGUGCCUUCGGGAACUCUGAGACAGGUGCUGCAUGGCUGUCGUCAGCUCGUGUUGUGAAAUGUUGGGUUAAGUCCCGCAACGAGCGCAACCCUUAUCCUUUGUUGCCAGCGGUCCGGCCGGGAACUCAAAGGAGACUGCCAGUGAUAAACUGGAGGAAGGUGGGGAUGACGUCAAGUCAUCAUGGCCCUUACGAGUAGGGCUACACACGUGCUACAAUGGCGCAUACAAAGAGAAGCGACCUCGCGAGAGCAAGCGGACCUCAUAAAGUGCGUCGUAGUCCGGAUUGGAGUCUGCAACUCGACUCCAUGAAGUCGGAAUCGCUAGUAAUCGUAGAUCAGAAUGCUACGGUGAAUACGUUCCCGGGCCUUGUACACACCGCCCGUCACACCAUGGGAGUGGGUUGCAAA